UUGAUUCAUUUGUUUGCUUGUACGCCGAGAUGCCGCUGACAGCAAGAGUUACCGGGUCCUCCGGCGGGCGCCUGGGUCCGGGCCGCUGGGGCGCCGGGGCGGUCCCGCCGAGGCAACGUGUGUGGUACGGUUCGCAGGGGGGUUUUGGGAGUUGUAAACUCGGUAAUGAUCCCUCCGCUGGUUCACCAACGGAGA
rnacentral:misc_RNA from 1 species